CCACCAAAGGUUGGAGGGACAACGAGGGUUUGUAGGGGACAUCAAGAGCUGGAGGGACAAUCAGGGUUGGAGAUGCCACCAAGGGCUUGAAGGGGACAAUCAGGGUUUGGAGGUGUCACCAAGGCCUUGAGAAGCCACCACAGUCACGGUGAUGCCACCACAGCCCUGGAGGUGCCACCACCGCCAGGACUUAAUUCCCAAUCCACGGCACCCCCAUCACCACACCCGCACUGUGUCCCCACAAUGUCCCCAUGGUGUCCCCUCAGUGUCCCCUCAGUGUCCCCUCGUUGUCCCCUGGUGUCCCCAGGCAUCUCCCUGGAGCGGGUGUUCGAGUACAGCGAGUACUGGGAGGUGUCUCCAUGGUGUCCCCACGAUGUCCCCUCGGUGUCCCUGUCCCCUCAGUGUCCCCUCAGUG